UACGUAGGGUGCAAGCGUUAAUCGGAAUUACUGGGCGUAAAGCGUGCGCAGGCGGUUUGUAAGUCUGUCGUGAAAGCCCCGGGCUCAACCUGGGAAUUGCGAUGAAGACUGCAAGGCUUGAAUCUGGCAGAGGGGGGUAGAAUUCCACGUGUAGCAGUGAAAUGCGUAGAGAUGUGGAGGAACACCGAUGGCGAAGGCAGCCCCUGGGCCAAUACUGACGCUCAUGCACGAAAGCGUGGGGAGCAAACAGG
rnacentral:rRNA from 1 species